CCUACGGGAGGCAGCAGUGAGGAAUAUUGGUCAAUGGACGCAAGUCUGAACCAGCCAUGCCGCGUGCAGGAGGACGGCUCUAUGAGUUGUAAACUGCUUUUGUACGAGAGUAAACGCAGAUACGUGUAUCUGUCUGAGAGUAUCGUACGAAUAAGGAUCGGCUAACUCCGUGCCAGCAGCCGCGGUAAUACGGAGGAUUCAAGCGUUAUCCGGAUUUAUUGGGUUUAAAGGGUGCGUAGGCGGUCGGAUAAGUUAGAGGUGAAAUCCCGAGGCUCAACUUCGGACUUGCCUCUGAUACUGGUCGGCUAGAGAGGAGGUGAGGUAGGCGGAAUGUAUGGUGUAGCGGUGAAAUGCUUAGAGAUCAUACAGAACACCGAUUGCGAAGGCAGCAUACCAAGCCAAUACUGACGUUGAGGCACGAAAGCGUGGGGAGCGAACAGGAUUAGAUACCCCAGUAGUC
rnacentral:rRNA from 1 species